GGGGAAUGGGGAAUGGGGAUAAAUAGCAGCAGAGAUGAGGCAGUUGUAAGAAGUCAUAAAUAACAGAAAACAGGGGAGCAGGAGAAAAACCACAAUGCUGAAAAAGGAUGUGAAUGAGGGAAGAAAGUCAAGGAAGAGCUUGGAAGAUCUCCAUGCAUGGGGAAAAAAGAGGACCAUGAAUUAACAAAGAGAAGAGGGAAAAAGAUCUGCUGCAAGCUCCUUGAGAACAGGACCUAUUUCAUCCCUAAUAGUUUAGUGUUAAAUCCCUGAACCCACGAACCUUCCAUAAAUGUAUCUACAGAAUAAAUGUGAGGAAAAAAAAGGCAUCUGAUAUUUGCAUAGUCUCUUCUUACAGAACAUUUGAAAAAAAAAACACAUAAGUGAUAAAGAUAAU